AUCCCAUGGUGUGGACAUCUCCUUUGAAGUUCCUUGUAUCUCUCCCAUGCUUCAUACAAGCUCUCAUCAUCUCUAGGUCAGAAAGAAGUUAAUUCAUUCCUUAAUUU